UACGGCCACAUCACGUUGGAACAUCGGUUCUCGUAAGAUCACUGAAGUUAAACAACUUCGAGCCUUGUCAGUACCUAGAUGGCUAACCGCUUAGGAAUAUCAGGGGAUGUAAG